UACAGAGGUCUCAAGCGUUGUUCGGAUUCAUUGGGCGUAAAGGGUGCGUAGGCGGCGCGGUAAGUCGGAUGUGAAUCUCGGAGCUUAACUUCGAAACUGCAUUCGAUACUGCCGUGCUUGAGGACUGGAGAGGAGACUGGAAUUUACGGUGUAGCGGUGAAAUGCGUAGAUAUCGUAAGGAAGACCAGUGGCGAAGGCGGGUCUCUGGGACGGUACUGACGCUGAGACGCGAAAGCGUGGGGAGCGAACAGG
rnacentral:rRNA from 1 species